UCUCUCUGUGCUCUCUGAGCUGAAGUUGUGGAUGCUGCCUGCUCCAGAACUCUGUAUCUCUGAGGACCUUUGGGGCCAGCCAGCCCAUCCCCAGGACUCCUGGGCCUGUGUGCCCACGUGUGUCUGUGGGUCUGUGCGUGCCCAUGUGUGUCUGUACCCUUCACGUUUCUGCCCUCUACUUCCAUCAGUGACUCAUGUGAAAAAUAAAUUGAACGUGGCUUGUACUAGCAGAGUUGUUCCCUUUGAGUAACACUUAAAAUAAAACUUUGCUAACUUAGAUCAAUGAACCUUCAGCACGGUGAAAUUAUACCCGCAAUUGCAGGUUAAGGUGUGAUGUGUUUACAGGACAUUCCUAGCGAUCCUUCUUACAUGUUUUGGCAAAAGUGGCACUUGGAUACAAGAACUAUUUGCUUGCGAAACACAGGCAUGAGGUAUGUGGUAUCAGCAGCUUGAUUCCCAUUGUGUAGCACUCGGGCCCUGCCUGGAUCACCAUCCCAGCUGACACCACCAGGCCUUCAGGCUCAGACUGCACGCCCUGGUGAGGAGGCACAACAGGUUGUUGGCCUCUGCAGACAAGGCCGGAAGAACCUCACACCAAUGAGCUACACAGCUCGCUUCAUUCCUACAGGUGAAGGAAAUAAAUUGCCUGCAGUUGAGCUAAAUGUGUUUCUAACUAUUUGCAGGCUUCCAGGGUCUGGUCUGCCUAAUUAAGCUAUAGGAAGAGGAUAGAAAUUCACAUGAUACACAUAUAACCAAAUAUAUAUACUGGCACCUUUUGAACGCCAGAUGUGAAAUGCUACCUAAGAAACCUGUGUUAUGUUUGAUCUGGAGUGGACAAAGUGGGUGAAUUUUAUCUCCACCUCAUGCAUUUUUUGUUAGUUUGACAGAGAGUGCAGAGGAGCUGACAGCAUACAGCCUGCCACAGAGAUCUCUGACCAGCGGCUGAAAGAAGAGAGAAAAAAUUGUUUUGAUUUGAGGAGCUGAAACAGUUAAAGCAGAGGGGCUAAAGCAGCAACGUGAACCUGACCUUCUUUCAAUUUCCACCAUUAUGGCAUUGGCAACUUGAGUCCGAUCUUCCCAAGGUGAAUCGGACCUAAAUUCUGGGAAAUAAUAAUAAAAAAAAUCCCUACCUCUAAAUCUACUGCAUUAUUAGAUAGGUGGCUGCAUAGAAGUAUAACUCGGAACCCUGCAAUCUAAAAGUCAUCGGUUUCUUUUCACUUUUACUGACUGCAUGUGGGCUUUUCCUAACUUUCUUUGAUGUGGGUAGGUCACCAUGGAUGACAGAGGUCAGGACGCUGCUGAACAACAGGCACAGGUCAUACAGAGACUUGGGGAGACAUGAACCACAGUAAUCGGUUCUGAAGUCAUCGGUAUUCAGCCCCUGUUUGGGCUUUCCAAACUGUGAAACUGUGGUUUCCAAAGAGCCUGAGAGAACUGAGGCACCAGGUUGAAAGUAAGAUUCUAGGCCCAUAUGUAUGGCCUAGGUUAUCGGCCUGGAGGCUGACACAGCUGCUCAUUUCAUCAGAGAAAGUCUCACUAUGGAUAGGCUGUUGGAAGAUGCUGUUAGCUCGCUCUCUCUCAAUAGAGCAGUACUGGAGAUGGGAUACUUCCUACUAACCACAGUAAUUCACCUCCUUCGGUGCCGUGGAGCCAGAUGAGUUUCACAUGGUAAUGGGAAGGACAUUUCUUAAAGCAUAGCAUUCUGGUAAUGUUUCUUCACUGAUUUCUUUGACACACACAUAGAAGUUUAUUAUCUGAGUAGCACAGUGGCACUACACUGAUAUGUUCAGUCUGUCCUAAAAUCUCUUAAGUGCUAUGAGAAUAAAUCUGCUGCUCUUCUUACUGUUUGCAGUUGAUAGUAUUGCAUGGGUUUCACACUUUCUCCUGUGGUGUUAUUCAGUGAGUCACUCUGAAGAUAACAUAAACUUCAGCUAUGGUUUAUGGAACUUUCUGCUCUCAGUAAGAAGCACAUAUAAAUAUCCUGAAGUAAUUCAUUAAGAAAAAAGAAGUAUUAGAAGAUGGUUCAUAAGACUAGGGAGUUCUAAGGAGUGAAAGAAAACAGAAACCCAAGCCAGUGGUACAGUUUUAUUAAAGUGCUGAGCAAAUAUUCACCUGACAAUACGGUGACAAAACCUGUUCACUUUUGCACUAUGAAUAUAGAGACAGUUCUGCAGGAGCUGCUGAGCAGGUCUAUGCCUGCCUGUAUCAGUGGAAACUGGGAUUAAGUGCUAGGAGUGCUGAAUGCUGAUGAAGACAAAGCUGCAUACAGCCACUCUUAAUAGUGUAAACUAAUACAUUUUUCAGUAUCACUGAAUUUGCUUACGAGAGACUCAAUAGCAAAGAGCAUAUUUGUUCUUGUUGGUAAUGCUGACACUGAUUCAAGCAGUCUCUUGUCUGACAAAGGCUUGCUGCACACCUCUUCUCAAAACUGUGAUUAAGGUCGUGGCAAUCAUACUGUUCAGAUUCUGUUGUAAAUGACAUUGGAUAUAGGAUAGUUUCUGGCUGCAGUGAAAAAAAAAAAAACCCAACAAAUUGUAAGGUCAGAAGCACAAGUCUUAUGCCUAUAACACUGAAGACGAUAAUAAAAAUGUGGUUUUGAAAGAAGAGUUAUAAAAAGUAUCCUCAGGCAUGGAAGUAACGAUUAUGUACUGCUAGCAAUUUGCAUUCUGCUAAGUUAGAGAAGGGCACUUCUGACAGAUGAUUGUUGAACCCCCAUCAAAGUCAUAGGGAAUUAUGUAAGAAAUAUCAAUGUAGCCAUUUUCAGUGUGCUACAACGGUGUCUGCAUGUCAAGAAGUAGGGCUGAGGCAACCGCAUCCAGGUUUUCUGUGUGAGAUAACAGAAGCAGACUUUGCAGGACUGGAAACCACCUGUAUGUUUCUGCACUUAAACAAUUGUGCUCAGUUUGUGUAACCCUAACAGCUUCCUUUAACCUUCUGUUCUGUAGGGCUCAGCAUCUCACAGGUAAAUUAAAAAGCUAAACAAAAAUGAGAACUUUUUGUUGAAGCCUGAUUAAAUUUCACAGUUUGUGUGUAAUGAGAGUACUGCUUUAUUUUACGCCUCCAGCAAUCUGCAAUGUCUUUUCUCUCUAUGUUGGUUUGCGUGCAGCUCUCAUGACUGUGUUACCAGAAUGCCAACAUGUCUCUGCUUGGAAGAUACAGGCACAGAUUGCAUAUUCUUCAGCUUUGAUUCAGCUCCAGCUUCAGACUUGAGAACAGACAGAGCGCAGUUUGCCUGGAUUCCAAUACAGAAAAGCCACAGACUUGUGGAACACUAUUAAGAGAGGGGUGGCAAAUUCUCAUUAGGGAUGUGUUAGCAGGAACUGAGGUGGUUGAGAGAGAAACUAAUGUGUCAUAAAACCUUCACCAAAUAGAGGGAAAUAUGUUGGACAAAAAUUGUAUUUAUUGCUUAACACAGUCUUUGUUUGUUAUAAGUUGCUGGAAGUUUUUGUUUGUUUGUUUUUCUGGUACAGCGUUUGGAAUGCCUGGAGCUCUUUACAGGCAAAGAAGAGAGGAAGAUUGUAGGAAAACCUAGGAGGAGUUGUAAGCUUAUUUCAGUUUCUGGUAUUAUUAAUGAUUUCCUGUAUGCAUUUCACAAUUAAUCCUCUUAGGAGAUGUCCUUGUCUGAUUAAGGUGAAGAUGUUCCUUAUGUUGUUCAGGUAGAUGUGUACAAACACUGUGGGGGAAGGGAAGCUGCACAACUGAAUAAUUAAAAUCCACGGGUCCUACAUAUACAUAUCAUCACAGAUCUGCUUGAGGCAUUUUAAUGGCUCUGCAAAAUGGAUGCAAGUGAAAAAACCCCUCAGCAGAAUGAACUCAUGGAAGCAGUCAGUAAAGAACAGAAACACCCUAAUGGAGAUAGAAACACUUCUAACUUCUCAAACCCAUUUUUCCAGAAGGAGCUACAUCAUAAUUUCAAAGGUAGGCCUGGGAACUAAAAGUCAUGGCUCUUAACAUUAAAGCCUGGGAACUAUAUGUUUGCUUAAUGAAUGUUUUAUAAUCAGUAAGUUGCUUCACAGCUUGCCAACUAUCAGGCCAUUCCUGUUCACACAGAUAAACUACCUAUACCUGAUCCACAAGCCUGUCAUCUGCCCCACUGGACACCUCUCUUUGCCAACCAUCUCCUCCCUCAAAAUCUUGUUAGCGCUGUGUUAUACUCAGUGCAGUUGCUUCCAGCCUGAUGUUUUCUGUGUCUAGAUCAGACUUACAGCAAGAAUGGCACUUUCUUCCCAAAUGUCUGUUUACUGAAAAUGUAGUAGUAUCUAUCUCCACAAUCUUGCCGUUUUAGACAUCACAGUUACUGAAGUACAAUUAACUCAGUAAAGUGUUAGGAAAACACAGGAAUAUCCAAUCUGUUCUACCAAAGUACUGAACUGAACUCAUGCACUCAUGGCCUUGAGAUGCCAGGAUGGGGGCAGGGGAAGCAGUGUGCGGGGUACAGUGCUCAGCCUGGUGCUGGGCCACAGGACUUAUGUUUGCCAGGGGCACCUCCUCACUUUGGGGCUGCUGCAGGUUGCUUUAAUUGAUAACUCAUAUUUAUAUGGCAUCUGAUACAUGGUCUGAGAGAGAGGAACCGUUUUAAACUAUCGGAGAGGAGAUACAGAUUAGAUAUUAGAAGGAAAUUUUUUACUCAAAGGGUGGUGAGGUGCUGACACAGCUGCCCAGAGAGGCUGUGGGUACCCCUUCCCCAGAGGUGUUCAAGGCCAGGUUGGAUGGGGUCUUCGGCUGCCUGAUCUGGUGAAGGCAACCAGCCCAUUGCAGAGGGUUGGAGCUGGAUGAUCCUUAGGGUUCCUUCCAACCCAAGCAAUUCUAUGAUCCUAUGAUUCUAAGAUACCUAAGAAUCUGCCUUUAGGUGAGAGUAAGGCUGACAUUAGGUGAGAUUAAGAGCCAAAUCCAAAAAUGGCAAUUUAUUCUACUAUGAAACAAGUGAAGUAUUCUCAUGCUUUCUUCUUUGUCAUUUGCCAGUCUUAGAUCUCACUCACACUUUCCAUUUGUCAUUCGGAAUGACUCCUUGCGGGAUUCCAUACAUUUUUCUGUAUGCUGAAGUCUACCUCCUACAUCUUCUGUUUGGGAAGUGCCAGUGCAUGAAACAAUGGAGAUUUCAGCUAACAAAGAAUGCUCUUUGUCUCAGUGUUGUGACCCUGCCUCACAAAGGACAGAGAAGACAAUGAUACGUGAAUGUAAUUGCUGAGCCAGGAUGGGAAGAUAACUCUCCCUGCACUUUUUACAGAAAUUAAACAAAGAAAUUCUGUGUC